GGGCCGGUAGAUCAGCGUGGAAUGAUCGUCCGCUUGGCAUGCGGAAGGUCCCGGGUUCAAGUCCCGGCCGGUCCACCA
rnacentral:tRNA from 1 species